rnacentral:rRNA from 1 species
UACCGUGAAAAAAUUAGAGUGUUCAAAGCAGGCAGAUUCAAUUUUCUGCCACCGAAUACAUUAGCAUGGGAUAAUGGAAUAGGACCCUGUCCUCCUAUUUUCAGUUGGUUUUGGCAGCGCGAGGACUAGGGUAAUGAUUAAUAGGGAUAGUUGGGGGCAUUAAUAUUUAAUUGUCAGAGGUGAAAUUCUUGGAUUUAUGAAAGAUUAACUUCUGCGAAAGCAUCUGCCAAGGAUGUUUUCAUUAAUCAAGAACGAAAGUUAGGGGAUCGAAGACGAUCAGAUACCGUCGUAGUCUUAACCAUAAACGAUGCCGACCAGCGAUUAGGAGACGUUGAAUACAAAACACCACCACCGGCGCGGUCGUCCUUGGCGUUCGUGUUCACGCACGAGCACGAGGGCGGUUUAAGCCCGGUGGCACCGGUGAAUGACUCC